rnacentral:tRNA from 1 species
UCCCUGGUGACUCAGUGGUAAAGAAUCUGACUGCAAUACAGGAGACCCGGGUUCGAACCCAGGUCAGGAAG